rnacentral:lncRNA from 1 species
AGAUGAGAAGAACAUUUAAGUUUUCCUCUUUUACCUCCAGAAUAAUAUAAUGGAACCACUUAUCUUUUUCAGAAAUCAACUCUAAGGAAAGAAGUGGUCAGGAAACCUGUUGAAAGAAAAUGAAAGCAAUGUAUUUCAGCAAUUACUUAAAUCCUGCAAGAAGAUCAUGUUUGAUGGGAUUUGCCGUGGCCUGCUGUUUCUUUCAAAGGAUCUGUUAUUUCUUUCAGUCUUCCUAGUAUGCUCCUGCUGGGGUUCCUGGAGUAAAAGUCCAUAGUGUGAGUCUCCACACACUGUUCUUUCUGUCCAAGUGGAAGCUGCACAUCCGCCUUGUCCCCUGGCAGCUUCCAAUAAAAUUAUUUUUAAAUGAAAAGGUCAGUAAGUUAUUAUAGAUUGUUAGUGAUCAUAUUUUAUAAUUAAUGUUGUAAAUAAAUGUUCAUGAUACAUGUACUAUAAAAAACAAAGGAUGCUAAGCAUGAUGAUUGGAUUUUCAUGCUCAUGUGUGAGAUGUGCCUCCUUCAAACUCUGUUACCAUGUCUGCACAUUACCUAUCUGACAUGAAAUAAAAAAAAAAAACCUCAAAGAAUACAAAAUAGUAUUUAGCAUAUAAUCUCAAUUUUCAAAAAAGGGUCUUUAUUUAUUUCCAUAUUUUGCCUGUUGGAGGGUCAGGGCUGGAAGGAGAGAGAGCAUCAGGAAAAAGAGCUAAUGGAUGCUGGGUUUAGUACCUAGGUGAUGGGAUGAUCUGUGCAGCAAACC